rnacentral:rRNA from 1 species
AUUGAACGCUGGCGGCAGGCCUAACACAUGCAAGUCGAGCGGAUGACGGGAGCUUGCUCCUUGAUUCAGCGGCGGACGGGUGAGUAAUGCCUAGGAAUCCGCCUGGUAGUGGGGGACAACGUUUCGAAAGGAACGCUAAUACCGCAUACGUCCUACGGGAGAAAGCAGGGGACCUUCGGGCCUUGCGCUAUCAGCUGAGCCUAGGUCGGAUUAGCUUGUUGGUGAGGUAAUGGCUCACCAAGGCGACGAUCCGUAACUGGUCUGAGAGGAUGAUCAGUCACACUGGACCUGAGACACGGUCCAGACUCCUACGGGAGGCAGCAGUGGGGAAUAUUGGACAAUGGGCGAAAGCCUGAUCCAGCCAUGCCGCGUGUGUGAAGAAGGUCUUCGGAUUGUAAAGCACUUUAAGUUGGGAGGAAGGGUUGUAGAUUAAUACUCUGCAAUUUUGACGUUACCGACAGAAUAAGCACCGGCUAACUCUGUGCCAGCCGCCGCCGUAAGAC